UCCUCCAAGGCUAAAUACUCCUGACUGACCGAUAGUGAACCAGUACCGUGAGGGAAAGGCGAAAAGAACCCCGGGAGGGGAGUGAAAAAGAACCUGAAACCGUGUACGUACAAGCAGUGGGAGCCCCACCACCAAAGCAUUCUCUGGUGUUGAAGGCCCUGCAAAGCAGCAUCGCGGUGGCGGAGCGUCGUUUGCGACGCCCAACACACAAAACAAGCGGUGAAUGCUUUGGGGUGGGGUGACUGCGUACCUUUUGUAUAAUGGGUCAGCGACUUAUAUUCUGUAGCAAGGUUAACCGAAUAGGGGAGCCGGAG
rnacentral:rRNA from 1 species